UGUCAAAUUUAGUAAAGAAAAUUCAAAGAGGCUUGAUGCAUUUGCGUUUUCUGUCUGUAGUGUGUCUUGAUUCAAGCCAGUAAUUAUUAAAGACAAAGAAAUGAUUUAUAUUUAUUUUUGGACCUAUUUUUUGAUAAUGUGUACUGUGGACUAUACUGUUUAUAUGCUAUACAAGAAUUAGGUAUAUUGUUACUGGGAUUAUGGUAAAGAAAUUGCAUUGUCCUCAUUUUGGCCAGCUUGGAGAAAGCCAGAUAUGUUUAUUCUCAUUUAGUGGUAAAUAGUUACACAACUAUGUGAUCAGCAUCUUCCUCUGAUGUGCUCUUUCCAUGUUUCAGACAUGAGUUCAUAAAGGUAAGACCUGCAGAAAUAGUGUUAAAAGUAGGUUUAACACUCAAGUCUGUCAAAGAUUUCUUUCUUCUUUCCUAGUUUUGCAACACAUGCCUGGCCACUAACUUUCUGUCAACUGUGGGAUUACAGUUGCUGAAUUGUCAUGGCUCUGUCUUGGUUCUUUUUGCUUGAAAGAAACCUGUUGAAUGUAAGUAAGUAGUCAUGAAAAUCCAGGUUUGCGUAUCUGUUGAGCUACUGAUUUUGAUUUUUUUUUUAAAUCUGCCAGGUGUAAUGGGCUCGUUCUUCUCCAGAGACUGGCAGUGACUGGACUGAUGGAUGGUCAUGAGGAACCACUGAGGGCAGACAGACAGACAGUCACUGAAGUAUAAAGAUCCAUGGACAUGAAAAGAGACCUUUAUGUCCAGAGAGGUGGUUGUACCAACUUCUGCCCCUCUGAAUAUGUGCACUAGUGACUUCUGCACGCUUUGUCGUGGGAUGGUGACCCUGCAUCCUGUGGGAACACCCUGAUGGAAGGACCCUCCGUAACAACAGGGAAAUUAGUGACCACACUUCAUGUAAGCAUGAAGAAGUGAAGUCUGGCUCAGAACUAAGCUAAGCACAAGGGUAAGUGCACACUUUGGGUUAAUGAUGUGUUUAAAGCUGUUGGUGCUCUGAACCCAUCCUUAAGGUCUCCCAUAAUGAAGUAGUUAAUAAAGAAUGGCCACAUAUCAUCAGAGGAAACAGACCAAUACUGCAAAAUUUUGUUUUUUCAGUACUGAUCCUUUAAAAUCUGGGGUUUUUUUAGUAACUGUUAAGGAACAUGCAUUUUGAAAUAUGUUUUUUGAUUUUGAAACUAUUGAUUUGGUUUUGCUCAAGUGUAAACAGCAGUAACGAAAAAAUAAUAGGAAAGAUUUUUUACCUGACAAAAUUUCAGCUGGGAAAGGUGGACAGACAAUUGAAAGAAACUAAAAAUAACUUCUCCUCAUGAUGACCUUAAUAUAAACAAUAGGUUACUGACUUUUAAUAAAGCAUUUUAUUCACAUGUACUCUGAGUGCUCCCGAGACGUUGAUUUAAAGCAACUGUACAAGAAAAAUGAAGUUACACUUUUUGUAUGGAUGUUAAGAAUAACACUGCUCCAACUCCAUAAAGCAUUUAAAGUUGUGCUUAUGUUUCAAUUAAGUUAAUGGAUUAUGCUUAAGUGUCCUUUGAAGUAGGUUUUAUUGCUCUCUCUUACAUCUGUGAAUACUGAAGUAGUGAUAUCAAAUUGCUUACUCAGGGCCAAAUAAAUCUCUGACAAACCAGGACCCAGUCUUUGGAAAUCCCAUCUAAACCACUUUUCACAAACUAGUUUCUAGUUCAUCGGUUUAUUUCUCUCAAUAUAUAUACGUAUUUCUUUAUGUGUAAGUAUAGAUACUUGCAUAAACAAUGAGAAAAAAUGGUAAUAUACCUCAAAUACAUUUUGCUUGAAGAGCAGUUUAAUAUAGUGACAUGAUUCCACUACUUCAUAUUGAGAAACUGGUCACAUAAAACCACCAACUUUCACAACUUAAUUUCCCUUUUCUAAUUGUUAAGGGGAGAAAAAAAGCUCAAAAUCCCUUACUGAGGUUCCGGUUUGUGAGGAAAAUGUUAUUCGUUUCAUAAUAAGAAGUUAAGAUAUCUGGAUGUCAAGAAUAUCAGUGGCCUUAGUGCAGCGAUUAUGCCAUAAUGGCAAAACCCAGUAGGUGCCUGGAUCUCCCACCAUCCCUCUACUGGAGAGCUCUUGGGCAACCUGCUACGCUUUCAGGUGCAUUUAAUAUUUGCAGCACCAGCAAAUUUGUCUGGGAGGCAAGUCCUCAUCUGCCACUCACCAAAAGCAGGCUGUAUUAAAUUUUUAUAUUUAUUGACAUUUCAUUACCAUAAUUGACUGCAGUUGGUUCUCUAGUAGAAGGCACAGGGCUGCCUUCUAAGCAGGAGAAUUGGUCCCUUGAGUAGGAUUUGCAAUUAAAAACAACGCAGAAUGGAUCUUUUUUUUAUUGUGUAAAUAUGAUGAGUUGAAUUUUCAGCUUUAACUAGAGAAUACUGGGUGUGCAGAAGGCUUUUUUCAAGAGUGAGCAAAAUUAUGAGUCAGUGGAAAGACGACCCCCAAAGGUGUCAAUCAGUUUAUACAAAAUCAACUGUGCAUGAAAAAGCCUCUGUUAAUGUCUGUUCUGAAAAAGUGGCCACGUUAAAGAGUAUGCUGUCCUGCUUGCUUGGUUCCGUGUGCAGAAAUUGAUACUGAAAGGUGUAUUAAUUCUUUUACCUUCUAAUUCGUUAUUAAAAAUGCUUUUGAAAGACAAAGAUUGGAACAGCCUGAACCUUAAGCAAAAUGCUUCAUUGCAUAUGGAAGCCUUAGCAUUUACUCUGUAUUGUACUGUUAAUUUCAUUUGGUAAAAUAAAACCCGCAACUGAAAUAAAUUAUUCUUGCUUCCAGAUUAAUAAUAUUACAUUUCACAGUUGAUUUUGAUGUUGAAGGUGGAAGGUUGACUGGCAUUUUUGAAAACAGAAGCUUUGGUGAUGCUUCAGUGUUACCUAAUUCAGAAGUAAAAUGGUUGGUAUAAGGUUACAGCUACACAGAUGAAUAGAUAUGUGAAUUCCUCAUGUACUGGUACACAGUGUUAUCUUGCAUAAUGAAUACGGUAACUAUGAAGAAGUAAUGGUAGAAGCUGAGCUGGGUUAGCUUGGUGCCAAAGUAAUGCAGAUAGAACAACAUUGAAUAGUUUACACUGCUGCCUGUUCUUGCCAUUCUUAACCUGGCUUUUUUAAGGUUAGUAUGGACAUCGCCAUGUAUGUUACACUGCAGGCAGUGCCUAAAUAUAAAGUUAGAUACUUGAAAUCUCUGCUGCCACCUAAUUUUGUGCUUAGAGUCCUCACAGCUCCAUCUUCCACCAGCCCUUUGGGUGCCAAACUGCCUCUGGGCAUGGCUGGGACUACCCAAGUCAUGACAGUGGUAAGUAACUGUGUCCAGCUCGUGCUACAGCUCUUCUCAGAUAUAGGGACUGUGUGGCUUUCAUCUACCUAAUACAGCAAAAAUACCAAAGGUGGGAUUUGGUAGCAGGCCAGUGGCUGGAGCAAUUAACAAAUGGGAAAUCUGGGGUAAAAUCUUCGGUCCAAAGAGUGCAUGAAAUAAAUAAGGCUAUGGCCUGGCAAUUGAGGCGUCUUUCUGAAGUGAGAAAUAUCAAGUUUCUUUGGGUAAAUCUGGCACAUCUUGUGGAUAUCUUCUGAUCAUGAGUAUUGGGCAGAAGGAGGGUGGACCUUAGCUUGGUUUGGAGAGAACAGAUUUGCUUAGUGCUUAACUCUACGAACAAACUUCCAGCUGGGAAUCCCAACUAGAAAAAAAUGACGUAAGUCCUUUGGACAGGGAGCAUUUGUGUCAUACGUCUCUCCUCAGUGUUUCUCAAGGCUGCUUCUUAGAGCAGCACCCAGCUCGCUGCUGGCCGCCUCUGCUCCCUGUGUUGCAGGGGCAAGGGCUGGGCGGCUGCAGCUGCAGGCUCUGCGAGAGGGCAGCGCAGUACAGGGGCACUACCAGCAAAGAAAAGAAAUCAAAAACCUGAUAGUAUUUGUAAGAGAGUCGUAACUUAAAUGGGACUGCAGAAAGACAUGGCAAUACUGAGUAUUUUUUCUAAAUCCUUCUCUUGAUAUGGCUGAAAGUUACUUAAAAGUCAAAAUCCCUUCAUUCAGUAUCAGUGAAAGCAAGUUAGGCCAAUGCUGAAUGUUUAUGAAAAUUCUACCUUAAAACAAUACAUAAUAGUAAACUACUUGGAGUUCAGCAGCAUUUAGAUAUUCAGCUAUCAAUCUCUUAUCUGAUAGAGAGGUAAGAGAUAGAAGUGACUAAUUCUGCAGGUUUUUUCAGAGGUUUCAUUUAACAGUGAGAUAUUGUUCAAGACACAACAGCAUACAAACCUUUUUUACAACGUGAAACUACACCCUGGGCUAAAUAAAUGGUGAGGCUGUAGGCCAGAAAUGCAGGGAGCACUUGUGCUUUUUUGUUUGGCAAAUGUUUUAGAUGGUAAUGAAUGAUUCUUGAGUCCAAAUCUCUGGUUUCACUGAGCUCAGAUGGAAACUUCUGGUGGAGUCAGGUGGUGGCCUCUGGUAUCGACCCUCUUUUCCCACAAAACAGAGUAUAGCAUUUGAUGGUGGAAUCAGGUUCCUUCCUUCUUCUAAAAUUAAAUUGAGUUUGAUUUCUAGGCUAUGACAAUGGAGUCAACUGACGUGUGGAAAUGCUGUGUGAAACUGUACCAUCCACCUUCAACGCUUCAGCAAGCUUGCAACCGUCUCCAGAACACUGGAUUAGAGCGAUUUUACUUGUUGAUGGCUCUUACCAAGUACCAACCCUCACUGAAUGACAUUCCUUUCAGCCAGGACAGGAGCUGUGCAAAUUAGGAAUGAAGCCCCUGUUGUGGCUGUAAACAGUAUCUGUCUAAUGAGCAAAUAUUCUAGUAAAUUUGAUCACUAUGUGUUUGGGGCACAAAGGUGAAGGAGGCAGUGGGUGCCUGUGUGCAGCAAAGGGUCUAUCCCACUGCUCCUGCCCUGCUCUGUGCAGCCCUGGUAGCACCCUGCCUGCUGCUGGGGGACACUGCUCCCCCACCGCUCCCUCCUCCCUUCCAAACUGCACCAAAAGGCCAGAGAGUGGCCCAUGGCAGUCUGCCCUGGGUUCUGAAGUCCUGAGCCUGUGAGUUGGCUCUGGUGUGUGGCUGUGUGGGUGGAUGAGCCUCUCUCAGAAGGGUGCAUUCAGCAUAGCGUAUAGCAAGCAAGCUAAUUUACUGUCACAACCAUAAUUACUCUUCCACUGCUUCCUGAAAUAUAUGUGUCAGUGGGAACUACAAUGGUUAUUAAACUAAUUCUGAGCUUUUAAUAUAAUUAAUACUUUCAUUAAAAACAUUUAAAGAAGUAUUGGUGUUAUGUUUCUAAGCAAGUGAACAUGGAAAAACACUUUGAAGAGGCACCUAAGAACAAAAUUGAGGAGGACUCAGCAUGGACAAAACCAGCAGAUAUGCUUAUAUCAGGCAGAAACCACUAGAGUGAGGAACUGUACAAGCCUGGAUACAAGCGAACAAGUACUACACUGAACAGCGAAGUAAUCAUUGCUUGACCUCAUUUGUAUCCACCUUGAAUCAAAUCCUGUGUUUGUUUGCCUGUGUAAGGUCUUCUAGAUUUGCCCCCAAAUGCCAA